rnacentral:rRNA from 2 species
AUCCACACGACUCUCGGCAACGGAUAUCUCGGCUCUCGCAUCGAUGAAGAACGUAGCGAAAUGCGAUACCUGGUGUGAAUUGCAGAAUCCCGCGAACCAUCGAGUCUUUGAACGCAAGUUGCGCCCGAGGCCUCUUGGCUGAGGGCACGCCUGCCUGGGCGUC